rnacentral:rRNA from 1 species
GACGAACGCUGGCGGCGUGCUUAACACAUGCAAGUCGAACGGAAAGGCCCUGCUUUUGUGGGGUGCUCGAGUGGCGAACGGUUGAGUAACACGUUAGUAACCUGCCCUUGACUUUGGGAUAACUUCAGUAAACUGUGGCUAAUACCGGAUAGGAGCUCCUCCUGCAUGGUGGGGGUUGGAAAGUUUCGGCGGUUUGGGAUGGACUCGCGGAUUCUCAGCUUGUUGGUGGGGUAGUGGCUUACCAAGGCUUUGACGGGUAGCCGGCCUGAGAGGGUGACCGGCCACAUUGGGACUGAGAUACGGCCCAGACUCCUACGGGAGGCAGCAGUGGGGAAUAUUGCACAAUGGGCGGAAGCCUGAUGCAGCAACGCCGCGUGCGGGAUGAAGGCCGUCGGGUUGUAAACCGCUUUCGCCUGUGACGAAGAGUGAGUGACGGUAAUGGGUAAAGAAGCACCGGCUAACUACGUG